GGAUGAGAGUGUGAUCUGGCUGUGACAUCUGUCACCCCAUUGAUCGCCAGGCUUGAUUCUGCUGAUCUAGCUGGCUAGGCAGGUGUCCUCUUCCUCCCUCACUGCUUCAUGCUGCACACUUGGUCAAAGAAGAUGCUUUCCCUGAAUGGAGAAGACCAGUCUUUGGUAGAGUAGCUACGCUUCCGUACUAGAACCUCCAAACAAGCUCUCAAGAUCCAUUUGUAGGAGAAUGUGGGGUAAUCAAGCUUCCAAUACUACAGAUACAUCCAAAUGUGGUGCUGCAAGUGGCAGUCUGCCUAUCU
rnacentral:snRNA from 1 species